UACGGAGGAUGCAAGCGUUAUCCGGAAUGAUUGGGCGUAAAGCGUCCGCAGGUGGCUGUGUAAGUCUGCUGUUAAAGAGUGAGGCUCAACCUCAUAAAAGCAGUGGAAACUACACGGCUAGAGUGCGUUCGGGGCAGAGGGAAUUCCUGGUGUAGCGGUGAAAUGCGUAGAUAUCAAGAGGAACACCUGAGGUGAAGACGGGUUGCUGGGCCAACACUGACGCUGAGGCGCGAAAGCCAGGGGAGCAAACGGG
rnacentral:rRNA from 1 species